GUUCUUUGCACGCAAAAGAUAGCACGUUGGACUUCUAAUCCAAAGGUCGUGGGUACGAGUCCCACCUGAAAUG